AAGUCGUAACAAGGUUUCCGUAGGUGAACCUGCGGAAGGAUCAUUAUUGAAAUAAACCUGAUGGGUUGUUGCUGGUUCUCUAGGGAGCAUGUGCACGCCUUGUCAUCUUUAUAUCUCCACCUGUGCACCUUUUGUAGACCUUUCAGGUCUAUGUUGCUUCAUUUACCCCAAUGUAUGUUAAUAGAAUGUUGUGCCUAUAUAAUAUAUACAACUUUCAGCAACGGAUCUCUUGGCUCUC
rnacentral:misc_RNA from 1 species